AAAUCAUGGUGGGGACACUGUCUUAGCGAACUCUUAAAUCUGCCCCAUGCUUUAAAUAAUGAUUCUCUAUCUUCAUGACCAAAAUUUAUAAUUUUGUUUCUCAUAU